rnacentral:rRNA from 1 species
GUCAAAUUGAAUAAGAGGUAUAGGAUGAGUUCGCGUCUGAUUAGUUAGUUGGCGAGGUAACGGCUCACCAAGACGACGAACAGUAGCCGGCCUGAGAGGGUGAACGGCCACACUGGAACUGAGACACGGUCCAGACUCCUACGGGAGGCAGCAGUGGGGAAUAUUGCACAAUGGAGGGAACUCUGAUGCAGCGACGCCGCGUGAGUGAAGAAGGUUUUCGGAUCGUAAAACUCUGUCCUUGGUGAAGAAAGAAAUGACGGUAGCCAAGGAGGAAGCCCCGGCUAACUACGUGCCAGCAGCCGCGGUAAUACGUAGGGGGCGAGCGUUGUCCGGAUUUACUGGGCGUAAAGGGUGAGUAGGCGGUUGUAUAUGUCAGGUGUAAAAGGCACAGGCUUAACUUGUGUUAGCACUUGAAACUGUACAACUUGAGUGCAGGAGAGGUAAGCGGAAUUCCUAGUGUAGCGGUGAAAUGCGUAGAUAUUAGGAGGAACACCAGUGGCGAAGGCGGCUUACUGGACUGUAACUGACGCUGAGUCACGAAAGCGUGGGUAGCAAACAGGAUUAGAUACCCUGGUAGUCCACGCUGUAAACGAUGAGUGCUAGGUGUUGGGUAGCGAUAUUCAGUGCCGAAGUAAACACAAUAAGCACUCCGCCUGGGGAGUACGGUCGCAAGACUGAAACUCAAAGGAAUUGACGGGGACCCGCACAAGCAGCGGAGCAUGUGGUUUAAUUCGAAGCAACGCGAAGAACCUUACCAAGGCUUGACAUCCCCUUGACCAGUGCAGAGAUGUACUCUCUUCUUCGGAAGCAAGGGAGACAGGUGGUGCAUGGUUGUCGUCAGCUCGUGUCGUGAGAUGUUGGGUUAAGUCCCGCAACGAGCGCAACCCUUAUCCUUAGUUGCCAGCAGGUAAAGCUGGGCACUCUAAGGAGACUGCCGAUGAUAAAUCGGAGGAAGGUGGGGAUGACGUCAAAUCAUCAUGCCCCUUAUGUCUUGGGCUACACACGUGCUACAAUGGUCGGUACAAAGGGAAGCGAAAGAGCGAUCCGGAGCAAAUCCCAAUAAACCGAUCCCAGUUCGGAUUGUAGGCUGCAACUCGCCUACAUGAAGUCGGAGUUGCUAGUAAUCGCGAAUCAGAACGUCGCGGUGAAUGCGUUCCCGGGUCUUGUACACACCGCCCGU